rnacentral:rRNA from 1 species
UACGAAGGGGGCUAGCGUUGCUCGGAAUCACUGGGCGUAAAGCGCACGUAGGCGGCUCGUUAAGUCGGGGGUGAAAUCCUGGAGCUCAACUCCAGAACUGCCCUCGAUACUGCAGAGCUUGAGUAUCGGAGAGGUUGGUGGAAUUCUCGGUGUAGAGGUGAAAUUCGUAGAUAUCGAGAGGAACACCGGUGGCGAAGGCGGCCAACUGGACGAAUACUGACGCUGAGACACGAAAGCGUGGGGAGCAAACAGG